UGGGGAAUAUUGGACAAUGGGGGCAACCCUGAUCCAGCAAUGCCGCGUGUGUGAAGAAGGCCUGCGGGUUGUAAAGCACUUUCAGUAGAGAAGAAAAGCUCAUGGUUAAUACCCGUGAGUCUUGACGUAACCUACAGAAGAAGCACCGGCUAACUCCGUGCCAGCAGCCGCGGUAAUACGGAGGGUGCGAGCGUUAAUCGGAAUUACUGGGCGUAAAGCGUCUGCAGGUGGCUAUGCAAGUCUGCUGUUAAAGAGUGGAGCUCAACUCCAUAAGGGCAGUGGAAACUGCGUGACUAGAGUACGUUCGGGGUAGAGGGAAUUCCUGGUGUAGCGGUGAAAUGCGUAGAUAUCAGGAAGAACACCGGUGGCGAAAGCGCUCUACUAGGCCGUAACUGACACUGAGAGACGAAAGCUAAGGGAGCGAAUGGGAUUAGAUACCCCCGUAGUCC
rnacentral:rRNA from 1 species